UGCCUGCCUGCCUGCCUGCCAUUGCCUCUCUCCCUCGGCCUGCAUGCCUCCAUUUUGGACAUUCUACCUCCACCUUCAAAAGGGUAUGAGCAACAGCUGUACACAGCGAUAAGCGUGUGACAAGAACUAUACAACAUCUAACCUUUGAAAUUUAAACUGAACUGAAACUGACACUCACA